AGAUUUUAACGGCGGACGGCUGAGUAACACGUGGGUAACCUGCCUUAUAGAUUGGGAUAACUCCGGGAAACCGGGGCUAAUACCGAAUAAUACUUUUGAACACAUGUUUGAAAGUUGAAAGACGGUCUCGGCUGUCACUAUAAAAUGGACCCGCGGCGCAUUAGCUAGUUGGUGAGGUAACGGCUCACCAAGGCAACGAUGCGUACCCAACCUGAAAGGGUGAUCGGCCACACUGGGACUGAAACACGGCCCAAACUCCUACGGGAGGCAGCAGUAGGGAAUCUUCCACAAUGGACAAAAGUCUGAUGGAGCAACGCCGCGUGAGUGAAGAAGGAUUUCGGUUCGUAAAACUCUGUUGCAAGGGAAAAACAAGUAGCGUAGUAACUGGCGCUACCUUGACGGUACCUUGUUAGAAAGCCACGGCUAACUACGUGCCAGCAGCCGCGGUAAUACGUAGGUGGCAAGCGUUGUCCGGAAUUAUUGGGCGUAAAGCGCGCGCAGGUGGUUCCUUAAGUCUGAUGUGAAAGCCCCCGGCUCAACCGGGGAGGGUCAUUGGAAACUGGGGAACUUGAGUGCAGAAGAGGAUAGUGGAAUUCCAAGUGUAUCGGUGAAAUGCGUAUAGAUUUGGAGGAACACCAGUGGCAAAGGCGACUGUCUGGUCUGUAACUGACACUGAGGCGCGAAAGCGUGGGGAGCAAACAGGAUUAGAUACCCUGGUAGUCCACGCCGUAAACGAUGAGUGCUAAGUGUUGGGGGGUUUCCGCCCCUCAGUGCUGCAGCUAACGCAUUAAGCACUUCCGCCUGG
rnacentral:rRNA from 2 species